ensembl:lncRNA
GUGCGCGCGGGAUAAACACAGAAAGAUGGCGCCGGCCACGCUGCGCGGCGCUGCUGCGUCACAGCGAUCCUCCGCGGACCGCGGGGAGAACAAAGGCGGGGCGGCCGCCCGGCGCAGCCGAGAACAGCAAGAGCUGAAAAUAGAACCACCUUGGGCUCCGGAGCAGGAAGCUGCCCAGGAGCGGUACUGAGGACUGACGCCGAGGGACGCUGGCGCCCCGCGGGUGGCCAUGGCGACGGGCCCCCUUCUCUAGGCUGGGGGCAGACUCUGAGGUUUUGCUGUAUAGCCCAGGCUGGCCUUGAACUUACAGCGGAUCCUCCUGCCUCAGCCUCCCGAGUGCUGGGAUCCCAGGCGUGCCCAGUGUGGCCUUGCAGUCCCUUGCCUCGGGCCUCUGGGCAUCUGUUGGACAGCUCCAGUCCCAGCGCUGCCCUUUCUCCUGAGUUGGCUUCAGAAGAGGCAGCCCCUGAAGCACUCCCUUCAGAGAGGUCAGGACCGAAGGGUCUUGCUGUGUAGCUGUGGCUGGACUUGAACCAAGAGCAAUCCUCCUGCCUCAGCCUCCCGAGUGCUGGGAUGACAGGCGCCACCAUGCCCAGCUUAGAAACCAGCAUUUUAAAAGACCAGGUGCUGCAGUCGGAUGGGCCGGGGAUUUAGCUCAGUGGUUCCGGCACCUGCCUCACAAGCGCAAGGUCCCGAGUUCAAUCCCUGGUACCAAAAAAAAUACCAGGUGCUGCAGUCGGAGGGACCGUGCAGAUCAGCCAGACACAGCGCUUUCAGGUGCUUAGCCGGAGGCGAACAUGUUGAAUCUAACACGUAUAUUUUGGACCAGUUAUUGAAGGGUCCACUGCCGACAUGAACUCAGAAUAAAGCUAACUGUGCAGUGGCUGGGGAGGGGCACACGAAAACGAGUGUGCUCGGUGCAUGAAGUGAAGCGUGCGUGCGGGUGUCCGGCCCAGUGAAGGUUGCACCUCAGGGUCUUUGUGGGCUGGGCACCCAGUCCCUGUCUCUGUCCCUGUCCAGGAACUACGGCUCCCACUUUUGGCUGGGUGCCCAGGGCGGGGCCCAGCUUUUCCUUGCUGUAUUUUUUAAACCAUUUCAGGAGAAGAAAAAAGCAAAUCUAUAACCCUGGCUUCAAGUUUCCUGGAGGGCUGUGGCACAAGGUAGCUUUUCUUUUUUAACUCUGAUUUCUGCCCAUCCGAGGUUGCAGUCCUUCCUCCAGGGAGCUGGUUCAAGACAUCUCACACCUCCGCCUUCGCCCCUUCUCCUCCCUGUCUCUCCAUUGAGUCUUCAGAGCCUCUGGUGUGAAGCAGAGAUGCAGCAGGAGGCAGGCGCACAUGCUGCGCACUGCACAAGCAGAAGUGUCGCUCCCUGGCACUCUGACGGUGUCCUCAAGGAGUAGGCUGUGAGUUUCAGACUAGGAAAAGCUAUCCCAGAGAGCAGCGAGCUGAAAUCAGACUGCAGCUCAGCUCAGCAGCACUUCAGAUGCGUGGCCUUCAGCACCCCAUUCCUCAGCUCCCAGUGUUGGAUCCCCACUGCUGGCUCUGCAGGCUGUUGCCGUGUCUCCGUCCUCCAGAAGUACCUGCCUCCGAGGUGGGUCCUGUGCUCACGCAUGGGGCGAGGUCACGGUGUUUGCCACUUGACCACAGCCUGGACAUCAGCUCCCUCUCUGGAAGAACCUAGUUCCCACCCCGGUCCGCUUUGUCCCUCUCAGAUGCCAUGUACUUCCUCACUGUACAAGUCCAUACAGUCCCUUGUUCUUUAGUUAAAACAGUUUAACCUUUGUUUGGGGAUUUUUUUUCAGACAGGAUUUUGUUAUGUUUCCCAGGCUGGCCUUGAACUCAUGGCAAUCCUCCUGCCUCAGCCUCCUGAGUGCCAGGUUACAACAGUUUAAUUCUUACAAGAACAGUAUGUAUUUGAAAAAUGUUUCAAGUAGAUUUUACUUUUAAAAAAAAUUCCAAGGAGAAACAAAAUUGCAUUUUAAAGCAUUUAUUAGUUAUAAAAUAAUCAUUUAAAUUUUUUUUUCCUCGAGACUGCUUUCAAGUUGCACUGAGAGAAUGCUAAUGUAAAUAUUCACAAGAUAGUUGUUUGCUUUUUAUUAUUACAAAUGCUUAGUCUUUUUUUCCUUCCAAUUUAGAUAGAAAAAGUGAAAGAGAAAAACAUUGCCUAAAGGAAAUAGCCUUUACAAUGGACCUUUGACUUACGAACUCAGUCCGUUCCAGAGGGAUGGUUGUAACUCAGGUUGGUCAGUGGAGGCUCGGGCUCCCCUACACAGCCUUCACAGUCUCUCUCCUGCACACAGGCAGAUCUCAGUGUCCUCAGAGAGACACUGGCCGGGGAUUUCCCAGUGAGCCCCAUUCAGGAGAGGAUGCUGUCCUGUUCCUUCCAGACUCUUUAAGGGUUAAGUCUGCAUGUGAGACCAUCUGGAAGCACAGGUGGCCAGCAUUCAGGUCAUAACUCAAGACUUUGGUUGUAAGUUAAAACUAAAAUCCUGGUCAAGACCCAAGUUGUUCGUAUAUCAGGCCGGUUGUAACUCAAGGGCCCACUGUUGCACUAUUUACUGAGUGUCUGGCAGUUGCAUGGCUUCGCCGUGGGUCACCCCGAUGUCCUGUGGGCCCCAGGAGAAGCUCAGGACCAAGGCCUGGCGGGCACAGCACCAUCCCUGCUGCCUUUCCUUCGGCAGCUGGGGACGCCUCUGCCCUCAGUCGCUGUUCCGGUUCUGUGUGUAGGAGGAGCCAGCUGCUCUCUGGGAGCCUCUGGUCUGCCUGAAAGGCGCUGCCCCAUCAGUCUGGAGCAGAAAUCCAAGAACAAGCGCACCUGCCUGUCGGAUCUGCUCAGACAAAACAGCGGAGACCUCAAAACACAGCGGAAACGGCGAGUCACCGCCUCCAGAGGAUGCUCUGCCACUGAUUUCAGCCCAGACGCCCUGUGCCCCUCAGGAGCUGGAGUCCCUGAGUCAGCCAGAUGGCAGGGCUCGACUCAGCUGCUGCUCUCCGAGGGACCUCAGAGCCCGGCCCACACCUCGUGGGACCCACAGAGCCUCCUGGCUGCCCUGGCUCAGUUAUCACAGUGCUGAUGCUGUCCACUCUAAAGCCCAAGAUGGAUUAAAAACAAGAACACACUGAUCUUCCACCCUGGUCACAUGAGAAGCCUUGGCUGAGACACAGCAAAGCCAACACCCAUGUCCUUUGAUGCCCUUUAACGCUUUUCCAGGGCUGGGGCCACAACUCUCCUGGACAGGGCAGAUUGCUGGACGUGGCCCCUGAAGCAGCGGAGGGGUUCCCGCGUCCUCAACAGUACUUGGAGGACCUCCAAGCCUAGCCCUGGCGCUCCUGGUCUUGGGCUGGUGAGUGGACAAGCCACUGGCACCAGUGAAUACCCUGAAGCCUUCGUUUACUCUGGAACUUGUGAGAGGGCGUGGUGGGGUGAACUGGGGUUUUCCCCUCUGGGGAUUGUGGACGAGUCCCUCCUAAUGCUGACGCCCCUGUGAGUAUCCAGAGCAAGCACAUGAGAUCCUCCUCACCCCGGAUCCCCAGUCCAGGUGGUCAGAGGCACAGGGAGGAUAGAGAGGCCCUGGGACAGCCGGGCUGGCAAGGGGGGCAUCUCAGUGACCCGCUGGCUCCUCCGGGGAAGCCCCCCUCAGAAACCCUCGCCUACUGCUUUCUGGAAGAGCCCUCAGAUCUUUGGAAUUCCCAGGACUGCAGCCAAGGAGCCGGCGAGGCAGAGCAUUUCAUGAGUUGAAUGUUUCCUUAUGUUGUCCCAGUUUGUCCAACUCCUCAUAACACAUGAUUGUGGAAUGUGCCCUCCUGAGAAAUACGGCCUUGUUUUUCAUCCUGAGCACAGCAG